GAUGAAGAACGUAGCGAAAUGCGAUAAGUAAUGCGAAUUGCAGAAUUUCCGUGAGUCAUCGAAUCUUUGAACGCACAUUGCGCCCAUUGGUAUUCCGAUGGGCAUGCCUGUUCGAGCGUCAUUAUCUUCCCUCAAACCUCGCGUUUGGUGUUGGGCCGUGCUGGUUCCUGCGUGACCAACUGGCCUCAAAGACAAUGACGGCGUCCGUGGGACCCUCGAUGCAACGAGCUUCUCAGGAGCACGCGUCGAGUUUCAAGGACCUUCCGGGCCGGUCUCCUUUUACUAUUUUACAAGGUUGACCUCGGAUCAGGUAGGAAUACCCGCUGAACUUAAGCAUAUCAAUAAGCGGAGGA
rnacentral:misc_RNA from 1 species